rnacentral:sRNA from 1 species
GCCAGGUGCUGUGGCGCUCACCUGUUGUCCCAGCUGUGUGGGAGGCUGAGGCAGGAGGAUUCUUUGAGGCCAGGAGCUCAAGACCAGCCUGGGCAACUUAGGCUCCAUCUCAAAAGAAUAAAUAAAGCAGAAAAGCCGAGUCCUGGUGCCUGUGUUGCUCGCACUGCGCUCACAGCUGGGAGGCUCAGAGGACACCUGUCUGCCAGAGUUUGGAGCCUGCUGUGAGGUAGAGGCCCAAUUAGGAUCUUCUGAAGCCUCUGUCCUUGGUGGCCUGACCUCCACGUGAUCUUGCUUCUC